rnacentral:rRNA from 1 species
GACGAACGCUGGCGGCGUGCUUAACACAUGCGAGUCGAGCGGAAAGGCCCUUCGGGGUACUCGAGCGGCGAACGGGUGAGUAACACGUGAGUAACCUGCCCCAGACUUUGGGAUAACCCUCGGAAACGGGGGCUAAUACCGGAUACGACACAGCUUCGCAUGGGGUCUGUGUGGAAAGUUUUUCGGUUUGGGAUGGGCUCGCGGCCUAUCAGCUUGUUGGUGGGGUGAUGGCCUACCAAGGCGACGACGGGUAGCCGGCCUGAGAGGGCGACCGGCCACACUGGGACUGAGACACGGCCCAGACUCCUACGGGAGGCAGCAGUGGGGAAUAUUGCACAAUGGGCGGAAGCCUGAUGCAGCGACGCCGCGUGAGGGAUGACGGCCUUCGGGUUGUAAACCUCUUUCAGCAGGGACGAAGCGUAAGUGACGGUACCUGCAGAAGAAGCGCCGGCCAACUACGU